GUGGGGAAUAUUGGGCAAUGGGCGCAAGCCUGACCCAGCAACGCCGCGUGAAGGAAGAAGGCUUUCGGGUUGUAAACUUCUUUUACCAGGGACGAAACAAAUGACGGUACCUGGUGAAUAAGCCACGACUAACUACGUGCCAGCAGCCGCGGUAAUACGUAGGUGGCGAGCGUUAUCCGGAUUUAUUGGGUGUAAAGGGCGUGUAGGCGGGACAGCAAGUCAGAUGUGAAAACCAGAGGCUCAACCUCUGGCCUGCAUUUGAAACUGUUGUUUUUGAGUGUCGGAGAGGUAAUCGGAAUUCCGUGUGUAGCGGUGAAAUGCGUAGAUAUACGGAGGAACACCAGUGGCGAAGGCGGAUUACUGGACGAUAACUGACGCUGAGGCGCGAAAGCGUGGGGAGCAAACAGGAUUAGAUACCCGAGUAGUCC
rnacentral:rRNA from 1 species